rfam:Opisthorchis viverrini scaffold27674.1, whole genome shotgun sequence.
GCACUGCUGAUGAGCUCCAAAAAGGACGAAACUUGAGUCCAGUGC